rnacentral:lncRNA from 1 species
CUCCUGAAAGAGCCAACACUAGAGGGGGAAAUCGCGCUGUGGCGCGUCAUAAUCAAGGAUGUUAAGCUCAAUGUCUCGCCUGGCUCUUCCUUCCAGUGCUCUGAGCCUGGAUGGUUUCGGGUCUGCUUCGCUAAUAUGGAUGAGGAUACUGUUGAAGUCGCACUCAAAAGGAUCAGAACAUUUGUUGGCAAAGGCCAGGAGGAGGCAGAGGCACCAACCAAAGCCAAGCGCUGGAAAAACAGCACUCUUCGCCUGAGCUUCUCAUCUCGGAUAUACGAUGAAGCUGUGAUGUCCCCUCAUUCCCCUAUGCCUCAUUCCCCACUCGUCCGCGCCAGGACUUGAUUGGUUGGCAGUUAGAUGCG